AUCAGCCGAGCGUGUGAAACAAAAGAAACAAAGGCGUGUGAAUAAAACAAAAAAAACGUAGGCAAAACCUAGCAAAAGUCAUCUCCCUCGCCGAGCUCGGCGGCUGCCCCUCUUCGAAACCUGCCUCGACCCACCAUCCGCAACCCUCGCCGCCACAAGCAGAGCUCCCUCGUCGAGCUCUGCUCUCUCCCUCGCGAGAUCUCUCCCUCGCCGACCUCUGCUCUCUUCUCUCCGCGAGCCAGCCACCAACCGCAACCCUCGCUGCCACGAGCAGAACUCCCUCGCCGAGCCGCAACCCUCGCCACCAAACUUAAUCGAAGAUGCAUGUUUUGAGAAUCGAUCCCUAUAAGAUUGUUUCUGAGCCCCUAUGAGUUAACACCUACAUAUAGCAACAUCAAUAACAAGUUCAGCGUUAAAUAUUUCUUGAAUCUCGUUCUUGUGGAUGAGGAGGAUCGGCGAUAUUUCAAGCAGCAAGAGAUCAGUGUGUACCGCCUUCAGGAAGCUCCUUGAAGUUUAUCGUUGCAAGAAAAGCAUAUAUAUGGCUUUGUACAAGGGAUAGCUUCUGAUUUCCUCAUGACUAUUG